UCCUGGUGGCUCAGAUGGUAGAGAGUCUGCCUGCAAUGCAGAAGACCCGGGUUUGAUACCUGGGUCGGGAA
rnacentral:tRNA from 1 species